rnacentral:rRNA from 1 species
CAGCAGCCGCGGGAAUACGUAGGUGGCAAGCGUUAUCCGGAAUUAUUGGGCGUAAAGCGCGCGUAGGCGGUUUUUUAAGUCUGAUGUGAAAGCCCACGGCUCAACCGUGGAGGGUCAUUGGAAACCGGAAAACUUGAGUGCAGAAGAGGAAAGUGGAAUUCCAUGUGUAGCGGUGAAAUGCGCAGAGAUAUGGAGGAACACCAGUGGCGAAGGCGACUUUCUGGUCUGUAACUGACGCUGAGGCUCGAAAGCGUGGGGAGCAAACAGGAUUAGAUACCCCAGUAGUCCCUGUCUCUUAUAC